rnacentral:misc_RNA from 1 species
UUAUAAUGUUGAACUUGAAAAGAGAUGGAGAUACACAGGAGAUGAAAAUCUCUAUUACAGAGUAAUUGAUAAAGUAAGUUUGGGCUCAAAUAUUUUCCAUGUAUCCAAACACAAGCAAGAUGCUGCUCAUGCAUUCAUCAAGCACCAACAAAAUAAAACUGAAAAUUCAGAAUUUCAGGAGGUGAUAGAUAAAUGCUUUUACAGAUAACCACCCCUCAGGGCAAGCACUAGAUGGAGAACAGAACCACCCUCAAUGUUGUAGUCUUUAGCCGUUUUGUCAUCUCCAAG